rnacentral:rRNA from 1 species
CAGAUGGGAGCUUGCUCCCUGAUGUUAGCGGCGGACGGGUGAGUAACACGUGGGUAACCUGCCUGUAAGACUGGGAUAACUCCGGGAAACCGGGGCUAAUACCGGAUGGUUGUCUGAACCGCAUGGUUCAGACAUAAAAGGUGGCUUCGGCUACCACUUACAGAUGGACCCGCGGCGCAUUAGCUAGUUGGUGAGGUAACGGCUCACCAAGGCGACGAUGCGUAGCCGACCUGAGAGGGUGAUCGGCCACACUGGGACUGAGACACGGCCCAGACUCCUACGGGAGGCAGCAGUAGGGAAUCUUCCGCAAUGGACGAAAGUCUGACGGAGCAACGCCGCGUGAGUGAUGAAGGUUUUCGGAUCGUAAAGCUCUGUUGUUAGGGAAGAACAAGUGCCGUUCAAAUAGGGCGGCACCUUGACGGUACCUAACCAGAAAGCCACGGCUAACUACGUGCCAGCAGCCGCGGUAAUACGUAGGUGGCAAGCGUUGUCCGGAAUUAUUGGGCGUAAAGGGCUCGCAGGCGGUUUCUUAAGUCUGAUGUGAAAGCCCCCGGCUCAACCGGGGAGGGUCAUUGGAAACUGGGGAACUUGAGUGCAGAAGAGGAGAGUGGAAUUCCACGUGUAGCGGUGAAAUGCGUAGAGAUGUGGAGGAACACCAGUGGCGAAGGCGACUCUCUGGUCUGUAACUGACGCUGAGGAGCGAAAGCGUGGGGAGCGAACAGGAUUAGAUACCCUGGUAGUCCACGCCGUAAACGAUGAGUGCUAAGUGUUAGGGGGUUUCCGCCCCUUAGUGCUGCAGCUAACGCAUUAAGCACUCCGCCUGGGGAGUACGGUCGCAAGACUGAAACUCA